rnacentral:lncRNA from 1 species
GGCCAGCCGUAGAAAAAUGCUUAUUGAAAUGAUCGAUUAACGUAAAUUUAUCGGUGGUGACAGUGUUUCCUAGCCUCAGUGCAGUGGGCAGCUGGGAGGAGGUGCUCUUAUUCUCCAUGGACUUUAAAGUGUCGCAAAACCUUUUGGAGUUAGAGCUACAGGAUGCAAAUUUCUGUUUGAAAAAGCUGGUCUUUGCUUUCCUGACUGACUGCAUGUAUUGGUAUCUGGCUUUCCUGAAAAGUUGCAUAUCAUGGGGACUAUUCGAUGCUAGAGCAGUCCGCCACAGGAUGUUUUUGUGCUGGUCGAGGGCAGUCAGGUCUGGAGUGAACCAAGGGCUAUAUCUGUUCUUAGUUCUACAUUUUUUGAAAGGGGCAUGCUUAUUUAAGAUGGUGAGGAAAUUACUUUUAAAGAACGACCAGGCAUCCUCGACUGACAGGAUGAGGUCAAUAUCCUUCCAGGAUACCCGGGCCAGGUCGAUUAAAAGGCCUGCUUGCACAAGUGUUUCAGGGAGCGUUUGACAAUGAUGAGGGGUGGUCGUUUGACCACGGACUCAUAGCAGAUGCAGGCAAUGAGGCAGUGAUUGCUGAGAUCCUGAUUGAAAACAGUAGAGUGGUUUGGAGGGCAAGUUGGUCAGGAUAAUAUUUAUGAGGGUGCCCAUGUUUACGGAUUUAGGGUUGUUCCUGGUGGGUUCCUUGAUACUUUGUGUGAGAUUGAGGGCAUCUAGCUUAGAUUGUAGGACUGCCGGGGUGUUAAGCCAUAUCCCAGUUUAGGUCACCUAACAGAACAAACUCUGAAGAUAGAUGGGGGUCAAUCAAUUCACAUAUGGUGUCCACGGCACAGCUGGGAGCAGAGGGAGGUCUAUAACAGGCAGCAACAGUGAGAGACUGGAGAGUUUCAUUUUUUUAAAUUAGAAGCUCAAACUGUUUGGACAUAGACCUGGAAAGUAUGACAGAACUUUGCAGGCUAUCUCUGGAAUAGAUUGCAACUCCUCCCCUUUGGCAGUUCUAUCUUGACUGAAAAUGUUGUAGUUGGGUAUGGAAAUCUCAGAAUUUUUGGUGGCCUUCCUAAGCCAGGAUUCAGACACGGCAAGGACAUCAGGGUUGGCGGAGUGUGCUAAAGCAGUGAGGAAAACAAACUUAGGGAGGAGGCUUCUGAUGUUAACAUGCAUGAAACCAAGGCUUUUUCAGUUACAGAAGUCAACAAAUGAGAGUGCCUUGGGACAUGCAGGGCCUGGAUUAACCUCCAUAUUACCCGAGGAGCAGAGGAGGAGUAGGAUGAGGGUACGGCUAAAGGCUAUCAAAACUGGUUGUCUAGUGUGUUGGGGACAGAGAAUAAAAGGAGCAGAUUUCUGGUUGUGGUAGAAUAGAUUCAGGGCAUAAUGUACAGACAGGGGUUUGGUGGGGUGAGGGUACAGUGGAGGUAAACCCAGGCACUGAGUGAUGAUAAGAGAGGUUGCAUCUCUGGACGCGCUAGUUAUGCUGGAUGCGGUCACCGCAUGUGUGGGAGGUGGACAAAGGAGGUAUCUGAGGCAUUUUGAGUGGGACUAGGGGCUCCGCAGUAAACUAAAACAAUGAUAACUAUCCUAAACAACAGUAUACAAGGCACAUUGACAUUUGAGAGAGACAUAAAACGAGGCAUAAAGCAAUCACAGGUGUUGAUUGGGAGAGCUAGCUAAGACAACGACGGGUAAGACAACAACAGCUAAUCAGCUAAGACAACAACGACAGGUAAAAUGGCCAUGAAUGGGCAGAGAGGGUCAGUUAACCUCACACACGGCCUGAGUUUGAGGCUGGGGCUGACAGAUAAACAAAAAAAUAAACAAAAUGGAGUACCGUGAUUAAUGAACAGUCCAGUAGGCAUCAGCUAUGUAGCCAAGUAAUCAUAGGGUCCAGUGAACAGCAAUAGAUGGAACAGAGAAGCCGCAGGGUAGUCGUUACUAUGCUAGCAAGCGGGAGACACAGCGUUUAAAGUUAGCAGGCCGGGGUUAGUAGAAGCGUCUGCUCCGACGUCCGGCAAAGGCCGGUUGAGGGACCAGCGGAUGGAGUUCCGUCGGCAGACCAGUCGUGGUGGUACGGCGGGGCACCGUGUCGACAAAGGAUCCAGGCCAGAUGGCGAAAGGGGUAUUGUAGUUGUAGUAAUUUAGUUUGCUAGCCGGGAGAUGCGCCUGGCUCGCGGCUAACUGGUGCUAGCUUCGGGGAAGGGGCGUUAGCCACUAUAGCCACUCGGUAGCAGCUAACUAGCAGCGAUGAUCCGAUGCAAAGGUCCAGAGCUUAUGGCAAGGAUCCGGUGGAGUAGUGGAUUCUAGCCGUGUUGGGGUAGAGUCCGGGAGGCAUCAGCUGUGUAGCCGAGUGAUCACUGAGUAGGCCGGGAGGUGGGCCUGGCUCAGAGCUAGCUUCGGGGCUGGGUCACUUGGUGGCAGCUAGCUAGCUAGCUGUGAUGAUCAGGAAUAAUGGUCCAGGGCUUACGGCAGGAAUCCGGCGUUGUAGUGGAGAAAACAGUCCGAUACUGGCAGGCUGGCAAGUAUUAUCCAGGCUUAAAAAAACGGCUGAUGUCUGUGCAGAAGGUUUCUUACGUGCUGUUCCUGAUUUUUCCGUAGUGUAUUUUUGUGUUGUUUUAGUGAUUCACCGUAGCGAAGGCGUAGACUCAGGUUUUCUGGGUCUCUAUGUUUUUGUUAAUUUCUUUCUUAGGUUUUUGCAUUCUUCAUCAAACCAUUUGUCAUUGUUUUUAAUUUUCUUAGGUUGUCUCCUUGACAUUUUUUGAUGUGAUAGGAAAGCUAAAAUGUUAAAUAUACUGUUUAGACGUUCUACAGCCAGGUUUACACCUUUACUAUUACAGUGACAUGUUUUGUCCAGGAAGUUUUCUAAAAGGGAUUGAUUUUGUUCUUGCCUAAUAGUUGUUUGGUAGAUUUCUACACUACCUUCCUUCCAUCUAUAGCAUUAAUAUUGUGCAGUUCCUUUUGGUUUGAUGCCUCAUGAUAGAGUAUUGCUCUGUUCAAAUAGACUGUGAUUUUGCUGCGAUGGGGGUUUCAGUGGGCUGACUGUGAAUGCUCUGAGAGACUCUGGGUUGAGGUCAGUGAUUAAGUAAUCUACAGUACUACUGCCAAGGAAUGAGCUGUAGAUGCACCUAGCAUAGGAGACUCCUUGAAGCCUACUAUUGACUAUGUACAGACCCAGCAUGCGACAGAGCUGCAGGAGUUGUGACCCGUUUUUGUUGGUUGUUUUGUCAUAGUUGUGUCUAUAUGGGGCAUAUUUGGGAGGGAAUGCUGUCACCUCCAGGUAGGUAUUUGUCCCCGUGUGCUGAGAGUGUCAGGUUCUUGUCCAGUUCUGGCAUUUAGGUCACCACAGACUAGUACAUCUCCCUGGGCCUGGAAAUGGUUGAUUUCCCCGUCUAGGAUGUUGUCAUUGUUAAAGUAUGGGGAUUCUAUUGGGGGGAUAUAGGUAGCACACAUGAGGACAUUUUUCUCUGUUCCUUAUUAAUUUCGAGACGGAAGUAAAAUGUUCCUGUUUGGACUAAUUUAAUAGUGGGUUAGGUUUGCUCUAUACCACAUUAGCAUACCCCCUGAGUCUCUUCCCUGUUUCACACCUGGUAGUUUGGUGGAUGGGACUGCCAGCUCUUUGUAACCUAGAGGGCAACCAGUGGGUCCGUCUCCUCUAUACCAUGUUUCUUGUAGAGUGAGAAUGUCUGUAUUGUCCUAAUGUGUCCUCCUUGUCCUGAUUGCAGGUUUAUGGGACAUAAUCACAGUGCACCAGUCCCCUCCAGUCCUCUCUGUCCAGCCUGGAGACACUGUGCGAAUUCUCUGUAGAGCCUCACAAGACAUUGAUAACGAUAUGACACUUUACCAGUUCAAACCUGUGCAGGCACCCAGAGGCCUCAUUCAUGAUAGUAACCAGAAGUAUCCUUACACAUCUAGUCGGUUCAGUGGCUUAUUGAAUGGAGCUCUCACCACCUUCACUAUCACAGAGGUCCAGGUUAAGGAUGAAGCUGAGUAAUACUGCCAACAAAGUGAACAGCUUCCAUUCACACAGUGAAAUAUGGCUGUACAAAAACCUCUGUUAGCUUCUCUCACUUCAGUCCGUUUGUGCGAGUGCCCGGCCAAGCAUCCGAGAACUGUCAGGGUUCAAUGACCUCUUUCCAUCAUAGCUGUAGCUGUACUUUACAGUCUUGUCCCAUCGCUGCAACUCCCGUACGGACUCGGGAGAGGUGAAGGGACAGAGCCGUGCGUCCUCCGAAACACAACCCAGCCAAGCCGCAAUGCUUCUUGACACAAUGCCCGCUUAACCCGGAAGCCAGUUGCACCAUGAUGUGUUGCAGGAAACACCGUACACCUGGGGACCUUGUCAGCGUGGAUUGCGCCCGGCCCGCCACAGGAGUCGCUAGUGCUCGAUGGGACAAGAACUUCCCUGUCGGCCAAACCCUCCCCUAACCCGGACGACGCUGGGCCAAUUGUGCGCCGCCCCAUGGGUCUCCCGGUCGCGGCCGUCUGCGACAGAGCCUGGAUCUCUAGUGGCACAGCUAGCACUGCGAUGCAGUGCCUUAGACUACUGCACCACUCGGGAGGCCUUAUAUUUUGGUGGGGAACGACAGUUGAACUAAGUGCAUGAGGUUCAUGGGGCAUCAUCACAGUGGACCAGUCCCCUCCGGUCCUCUCUGUCCAGCCUGGAGACACAAGACAUUGGCAAUGAUAUGGAGGUGCACCAGUUUAAACCUGGACAGGCACCCAAAACUCUUUUUAUGAUGGUAACCAGAGGUAUUUGUGCACACCCGGUCGGUUCAGUGGCCUCUAUACUGGAGCUCUCACCACCUUCACUAUCAGUUGAGUACAAGCAGAGGACGAAGCUUAGUAUUACUGACCAACACAGUGAAACAUUUCCAUCCACACAGUGAAAUACGGCUGUGCAUAAACCUCAGAUCACUGUUCUCAUAUGAGAAUGUUGCCAAGCUCCAGUGCACAGUUUAGCUUCAUUGAAAAACUGUUCCAUGCUUGUAACCUCGGUCUACACUAGACUCUACAUUCGGUCAAAACAGCCUCUCUCGUAUGUGCUAGAGCUCAUAUGGACAUUUGGGAUCUACAUUUUCUUAUUGAAAACAUGUUGUUUCUGGAUAUUUUGCUUCCAUCAAUAAUGACAUAUCUACUGUACAUGGACAACCUCUCAGACUCUUUAUGCAGGAGCUAUAAAGUCCCAAGUUACCUGGGACAUGAUACAGCUGAUCCUGGAAUAAAGGCUGUUAUGAUUUUUUAUUUAUUUACAUUGAUGGAUAUUGAAUUGAGAAAUGGGACCAGGCUAGGAAUCACUGUGAUGACAUGAUCAGUAUGGGAUGAUUCCUGGUGCUAAAUCUUUCAUCUGUAUUGAGCUAUUUGUGUACACAAAGAUACAUCCACUGGAUUGAUCAGUAAGGUAAGGAGUCAUGUUUGAAAUUGUAAUGUUAUUGAGUUGGUAAAACAAUUUGAAAACAAAUCUUUAACUCCCACUGUAAGAUUGUUCAUAGUUUAUAACAAAUCAAUAGAAAUAUAAUCUCUCUCACUGAAAAGAGUUGUACAAAAUUAUGAUAAACAAUUGAAUAGUUACAUUAAAUGAUGGAUAAUUUGUAUCAUACUGUAGUGGUUGAUAUUUGUUUAGAAAUUCUGUUAACUAGUUCCGUUCAUGGACCAGUGAGUUUAGUGGAGGAGAGGUUUUUGAACAACCUCCUCAUCUGUUUAAAUCAUUGUGGUACAAGUUUGGGCAAACGACCAAACUGAUCGUUAAGAGUAAGUUGCAAAUAUUUCUAGAAUGUAUCUAAUCAAUAGACUAUAUUGUUUAUAGACAUUUCUGUUAUUAUUGUAAGUGGAACCAUCAUGGUGUAAUUGUGAACAGAUAUUUUACUGUAACAAACAACUAAUUUAAUUAUAAACAAGAGUGUAUUAUUCUUUCAGAGACAUUUUGAUAUUGGCCUCUCUAUGCUGCUGAAUUGGAAUGGAUCCAUCAAAACACUGCAGCUGUGUACGCUGUUUAAUGAUUUUCUUUAUUUAAUCAAUUUCAUAAAUCUAAUGUUUUGGUAACACUUUAUUUCAUCCUAUCAUAUUAUACAUUUCAUGAAGCCUUCAUAAAUGCUUAUAAAUGCUUUAAAAAUGAUAAAUGUUCUACAUUUUCAUGGAAUGGAAGGCUUAGAAUGCUUAUAAAUGUUUACACAUUUAUUCAUGAUAGUUAUUAUAAUAAAGUGUUACCAAUAUUUUUCUUAAUUAUAUUGUAUUUUACAAAUGUACAAAAUAUAUUAUUUACAUAUAUUAUUAUGUAAAUCAAUAAUAGAUGUAUUGUCUAUCUGCAUUUAUACAUAUUUCAAUCUGUUUAUGCUGGAGGCAAUGGAAAUACUAAGGGGGGGGGUUCUACUAAGGUGACAUAUGAAAUUGUUUUUAGAUGGUCAUACCAUGGAUCAUUUAGCUAUAUGAUAUUGAAUUUUAGGACCCCUGUAGGUAUCAACAUUUUAAAUGUUUGAUCAAAUGUAGAAUUUGGCCUUUACUACUAUAGCCCAUAGAAAUGCAUAGAAUAAUGGCAAAAUAAAU